UGGGGAAUAUUGCACAAUGGGCGCAAGCCUGAUGCAGCCAUGCCGCGUGUGUGAAGAAGGCCUUCGGUUGUAAAGCACUUUCAGCGAGGAGGAAGGUGGUGAGCUUAAUACGCUCAUCAAUUGACGUUACUCGCAGAAGAAGCACCGGCUAACUCCGUGCCAGCAGCCGCGGUAAUACGGAGGGUGCAAGCGUUAAUCGGAAUUACUGGGCGUAAAGCGCACGCAGGCGGUUUGUUAAGUCAGAUGUGAAAUCCCCGGGCUCAACCUGGGAACUGCAUUUGAAACUGGCAAGCUAGAGUCUCGUAGAGGGGGGUAGAAUUCCAGGUGUAGCGGUGAAAUGCGUAGAGAUCUGGAGGAAUACCGGUGGCGAAGGCGGCCCCCUGGACGAAGACUGACGCUCAGGUGCGAAAGCGUGGGGCAGCAAACAGGAUUAGAUACCCUGGUAGUCCA
rnacentral:rRNA from 1 species